ensembl:lncRNA novel transcript, antisense to MYO1H
AUCUUGCCCACCCUCUAAUGACACGUUGGACUGCGCACUGAACAUAGAUCCUGUCGAGGGUGUUUAGAAUUGCGCCUUCGGGUGACCUGGGGUCUGCUUCCAGAAGGUGACAUUUUAAAUAAGGUGCCAUGGGGCAGCUGAGGAGCUGGGAUUAGGCUUUGGCCUAACGCCCCUCAGUUUCUUCAGAUGUGAUCUGUUAGUGCUGCGGGCCUGGUACCUUGAAGAGGUAGCUAACUGGAUCCAAUCCCCACUUCCCCUGUAGUUUCCUCAGUUGGAGCAAAAAUGGCGAUGGUAGAGGUCAGACGUCAUCCUCUAUCAGGACUUCCUCCGGACUGACACCUGGGAGAGAGUCACACUUCGGUUUACAGCCCUUCCCCGCUCCCUUUGCGCAAAAGGAAACAGUUAUCACCUCAACUGUCACCAUUAGCAAGACUUGUUCUUCCAGUCCAGUGUCGAAAACUAUUGUGCCUUCUUUUCCCGGACUAAUAAAAAACUGUAAACUUAAAAUACACAAAGUGACACAUUACUGACAUACUGUAUUUUCUUCUCUCAACCUUUGGUCUACAGAAGAAAUUCACUUAUUAAAUUCUACUAGUUUCAAGA